CCUACGGGCGGCAGCAGUGGGGAAUAUUGGACAAUGGGGGCAACCCUGAUCCAGCCAUGCCGCGUGUGUGAAGAAGGCCCUCGGGUUGUAAAGCACUUUCAGUGAGGAAGAACGCCUGGUGGUUAAUACCCAUCAGGAAAGACAUCACUCACAGAAGAAGCACCGGCUAACUCCGUGCCAGCAGCCGCGGUAAUACGGAGGGUGCGAGCGUUAACCGGAAUUACUGGGCGUAAAGCGCGCGUAGGUGGCUUGAUAAGCCGGUUGUGAAAGCCCCGGGCUCAACCUGGGAACGGCAUCCGGAACUGUCAAGCUAGAGUGCAGGAGAGGAAGGUAGAAUUCCCGGUGUAGCGGUGAAAUGCGUAGAGAUCGGGAGGAAUACCAGUGGCGAAGGCGGCCUUCUGGACUGACACUGACACUGAGGUGCGAAAGCGUGGGUAGCAAACAGGAUUAGAUACCCUGGUAGUC
rnacentral:rRNA from 1 species